AAUAGACAUUAAGAACAUAAUGAUAAUAUGAACUAAAAUAUGCUCUAUCACUAUGCGACACUUAGCUCAAUCUGUCGAACUGAGUCAGCCUUAAUCUCUCAAUACACAGCGGAAGAUAAACAAAAGGGUUGAUUCCAGUAAUCAACAGAUUGCACGUGCUCACAGCGGUCAAUAAGCACAACCUUGGGUAAUUGGGACCUCAAGGUGUUGUGGAAGCCAAUCACACACACAAGUAAGGAAGCAAAGUAACUAAACAAAAAAGCAAGAUUGGGAAGAGUAUUUGGGGUGUAAGAGAAUCUACUAAGUGAUGGAGAAAUACAAUGGAGGUUACAACAAAUGUCUAGCAGAAUAUUGACUUGCUGUUUAGAAUGUCUCCAGGUCACUCCAUCUCUCCAUGUUU
rnacentral:lncRNA from 1 species